rnacentral:rRNA from 1 species
UCCUCCCUCUGGCGGCGUGCUUAACACAUGCAAGUCGAACGGAAAGGCCCUGCUUUUGUGGGGUGCUCGAGUGGCGAACGGGUGAGUAACACGUGAGUAACCUGCCCUUGACUUUGGGAUAACUUCAGGAAACUGGGGCUAAUACCGGAUAGGAGCUCCUGCUGCAUGGUGGGGGUUGGAAAGUUUCGGCGGCUGGGGAUGGACUCGCGGCUUAUCAGCUUGUUGGUGGGGUAGUGGCUUACCAAGGCUUUGACGGGUAGCCGGCCUGAGAGGGUGACCGGCCACAUUGGGACUGAGAUACGGCCCAGACUCCUACGGGAGGCAGCAGUGGGGAAUAUUGCACAAUGGGCGGAAGCCUGAUGCAGCAACGCCGCGUGCGGGAUGACGGCCUUCGGGUUGUAAACCGCUUUCGCCUGUGACGAAGCGUGAGUGACGGUAAUGGGUAAAGAAGCACCGGCUAACUACGUG